rnacentral:rRNA from 1 species
ACGAACGCUGGCGGCAGGCCUAACACAUGCAAGUCGAACGCCCUAGCAAUAGGGAGUGGCAGACGGGUGAGUAACGCGUGGGAACCUUCCCAGUGGUACGGAAUAACCCAUCGAAAGGUGGGCUAAUACCGCAUACGCCCGCAAGGGGAAAGAUUUAUCGCCAUUGGAUGGGCCCGCGUCGGAUUAGCUAGUUGGUAGGGUAACGGCCUACCAAGGCGACGAUCCGUAGCUGGUCUGAGAGGAUGAUCAGCCACACUGGGACUGAGACACGGCCCAGACUCCUACGGGAGGCAGCAGUGGGGAAUAUUGGACAAUGGGCGCAAGCCUGAUCCAGCCAUGCCGCGUGAGUGACGAAGGCCUUAGGGUUGUAAAGCUCUUUUGGCGGGGACGAUAAUGACGGUACCCGCAGAAUAAGCUCCGGCUAACUUCGU